UGCUCAGUUUGUGUUUAUGUCAAUAAGCAACUAAAAUUUUGGAUUUGCGCGGGUGUGGAUAAAACAUUUUAAAAUAAAUUAUGUGUUUGUGAAGCCUGUGAAUUGUGUGUUAUUUUUGUGAUAAUGUUUUUCUUUGGAAGACUUUUGGGAACACUGAAAUCAUCGGUGUACUAUUAAGGACAUUAUUUUGCGCCCUAAGAUGGAGGCCGACAUCACACCCGCGCGGCCCGGCGCCGGUAAGAUGCGAGAGCGACGUCAGGCGCAAUAUCGCACGGUCGCUCUACUGUUUGCCUGCCUUCUCUUCCUCAAUUGUCAAGUCGACGCCGCCGGUAAGUUAUAUUUCAGUUUUAUUCACUCUAACUUAGCAAUCUUUCGCAAACCUGUACGCUGCUACCCUAAGAGGCUAUUCCAGCUAGGCGCGGGUAGGUGAGCU